rnacentral:rRNA from 1 species
UUGACCUCGGAUCAGGUAGGGAUACCCGCUGAACUUAAGCAUAUCAAUAAGCGGAGGAAAAGAAACCAACAGGGAUUGCCCCAGUAACGGCGAGUGAAGCGGCAAGAGCUCAAAUUUGAAAGCUGGCCCCCUCGGGGUCCGCAUUGUAAUUUGCAGAGGAUGCUUCGGGAGCGGCCCCCAUCUAAGUGCCCUGGAAUGGGCCGUCAUAGAGGGUGAGAAUCCCGUAUGGGAUGGGGUGCCCGCGCCCGUGUGAAGCGCCUUCGACGAGUCGAGUUGUUUGGGAAUGCAGCUCUAAAUGGGUGGUAAAUUUCAUCUAAAGCUAAAUAUUGGCCGGAGACCGAUAGCGCACAAGUAGAGUGAUCGAAAGAUGAAAAGCACUUUGAAAAGAGAGUUAAAAAGCACGUGAAAUUGUUGAAAGGGAAGCGCUUGCGACCAGACUCGCCCGCGGGGUUCAGCCGGCAUUCGUGCCGGUGUACUUCCCCGCGGGUGGGCCAGCGUCGGUUUGGGCGGCCGGUCAAAGGCCCUCGGAAGGUAACGCCCCCCGGGGCGUCUUAUAGCCGAGGGUGCCAUGCGGCCUGCCCAGACCGAGGAACGCGCUUCGGCACGGACGUUGGCAUAAUGGUCGCAAGCGACC